rnacentral:rRNA from 1 species
UACGUAGGGUGCAAGCGUUGUCCGGAAUUAUUGGGCGUAAAGAGCUCGUAGGCGGCUUGUCACGUCGGAUGUGAAAGCCCGAGGCUUAACCUCGGGUCUGCAUUCGAUACGGGCUAGCUAGAGUGUGGUAGGGGAGAUCGGAAUUCCUGGUGUAGCGGUGAAAUGCGUAGAUAUCAGGAGGAACACCGGUGGUGUAGACGGCUUUCUGGACCGACACUGACGCUGAGGCGCGAAAGCUAGGGUAGCAAACGGG